rnacentral:rRNA from 1 species
GAUGAACGCUGGCGGCGUGCCUAAUACAUGCAAGUCGAGCGAACGGACGAGAAGCUUGCUUCUCUGAUGUUAGCGGCGGACGGGGGAGUAAAACGUGGAUAACCUACCUAUAAGACUGGGAUAACUUCGGGAAAACGGAGCUAAUACCGGAUAAUAUUUUGAACCGCAUGGUUCAAAAGUGAAAGACGGUCUUGCUGUCACUUAUAGAUGGAUCCGCGCUGCAUUAGCUAGUUGGUAAGGUAACGGCUUACCAAGGCAACGAUGCAUAGCCGACCUGAGAGGGUGAUCGGCCACACUGGAACUGAGACACGGUCCAGACUCCUACGGGAGGCAGCAGUAGGGAAUCUUCCGCAAUGGGCGAAAGCCUGACGGAGCAACGCCGCGUGAGUGAUGAAGGUCUUCGGAUCGUAAAACUCUGUUAUUAGGGAAGAACAUAUGUGUAAGUAACUGUGCACAUCUUGACGGUACCUAAUCAGAAAGCCACGGCUAACUACGUG